GGACGUGAGGGCAAUCUGGCUGCCAUGUUUUUCACGUAACUGAGCUCCAGAGUGGAUGUGGCUGAUCUGGCUGGCUCCUCCUCCACCACUCCAUGUGAGUUUCUCAGAAGCUGUGCAUUUGGUGGAAGAGGACGACCACCCGCGAUAGAGAAGGCCCGUUUCCUUGGUCAAGGGCAUCCAAGUAGCUAUGCUUCCCUCCAAACAAGCUCCCAAAUAACUGUGCGCAUAGAAUUAGUGCCAUCCGUGAUACGGAUAUUUAAAAGAAGUAAGCACAUACUGAACUCUGCCUGGCAAACUGAAUUUUG
ensembl:misc_RNA 7SK 7SK RNA